UACGUAGAGUGCAAGCGUUGUCCGGAAUUAUUGGGCGUAAAGAGCUCGUAGGCGGUCUGUCGCGUCUGCUGUGAAAACUCGGGGCUUAACCCCGGGCCUGCAGUGGGUACGGGCAGACUAGAGUGCGGUAGGGGAGACUGGAAUUCCUGGUGUAGCGGUGAAAUGCGCAGAUAUCAGGAGGAACACCGGUGGCGAAGGCGGGUCUCUGGGCCGUAACUGACGCUGAGGAGCGAAAGCGUGGGGAGCGAACAGG
rnacentral:rRNA from 1 species